rnacentral:rRNA from 1 species
AUGCAGAAUUCAGUGAAUCAUCGAAUCUUUGAACGCACCUUGCGCCCUUUGGCUAUUCCRAAGGGCAUGCCUGUUUUGAGKAUCAUG